ACAAAAAUUAAGUCUUAAAUUUUGUUUUCUCUCUCUCUCUUGCGUUCUCUUCACUGCCAUUUCACUCACAACCACACCAAUCUUCCCUCUCAUUCCAUUUCAUUCUUCUCUCUGCAGGUCCACGGUCACCGGUGGGGGUUGCGAGGGGCUAGCGCGGGCUCAUUGGGGCUGGAAAACGCAGAGGCCUGGGACUACUCGACAACGCUUGCAGGUAAAAUCUCACUCUCCACUGUCUCUUCAAAUCCCAGGUGCUGUGUGCUACUACAUAUUGUUUGGAAAUGAAUAUUGAAGGGUGGAAGGGUUUGUUCAUAGAGUAGUGCUCCUUCUUGCAGAUAAAGAUGAGGAGUUGGGAGAGGCAUUUGCAGAAAUCAAAUCCCUAAGGAACUCAGAACGCCUUAAACAGAAGGUAGUUGAAGAGAUAAGCAGAGUAGAUAAGGGUGGAAAGACCGCUGGUUACCGAGAGCCUUGGAAGAUUCUAUAUGACAAGGGUUUGCUACGUGGGGUAGAGUGGUUGAGUUUGCAGGAGCAAUGGGCAGGGGCUAUUAUAUAUUUGAAAGGUUAUUGUGAUAUUUUUAUUUUGAGUAUAUGCCAGUGCCUGGGAUGAUAGAUUCAAACCACUUGUUUGAGGUGAUAACUGUGACAAUAGAUUAACUAAAUUGGUAUAUACUUACUGCAAUACACUUUGAUAUUUGUUAAGAAAAUGACAUCAUUAAAACUGUUCAGUUUCAUUUUUUUUUUCUUUUUGCAGGUUUGUUGAUUGAUAAAGAGGGAGUACACAUGGAAGAUGUUGCUCGAAGAUGUUAAAGUUUUACCCUUGUAGUUGCUAAGACAGUCCGGCUUCAUAAUCCUCCUCUUUAGUUUAUAGGUUUUGGAGAUAAACAAAUUAUAAUUUAUUUGUGGUAUGUAUGGAUUCUGUGUCUUCAUGUUGUCUUUUACAGGGAUACUAUAGUAGUGUUAUAUUUGUCAAAAAUUUGUUUUAUUAGAUUUGUAAAUACUUUGUAUAAGUUUUGUUAUUUUAAUCUAUAAUUUUUUUUAGAU